rnacentral:lncRNA from 1 species
GGGGGUUCGCGGGUCUAAAUCAUUUAUAUAGGAUUUCUCUAUAUUUUUCUAUAUAUGAACUUUAUCUUACAGUUAAUAGAAAAAUAAAAUAAAAUAAUGGGGUCACCGUUCAUUUGCGCUCACAGUCUGCCUUCGAAAGAAGCAUACAUCUUUGUAAAAGUGUGUCUUUUCUGUUGAACUAGUAGGAGAAAUAAAAGUAAUAUCGAAAUAAAAAAAAGAAAUUUAUUACUGAAAACGCUCAAGUUUUACAAUAAUUUAGUUUAAGUACAGCAUAUAUCGAAAUUAUAUUAAAAACUAUAGGUCACCGAUGAGUUAAAAAAGAUAUUUCAAUUUUAAAGCCAAAAAAAGGCAUUUUUCCACCAAAGGGAGAUAAUUUGGAAUUUUUUCAAUGAUGUUUUCAUUUUAAAAGUCAUCUGGGGCCAACACGAAUUAAUUGUUUUGAAUGUUUUUUGUACCAUAUGAUAAAGUAACAACUACAAAAGGUAAUAAAUAAAAUUUGUAAUGAAAAACAAAUGUUUAAUUUUUUUCUGAAAUUUUUAUACCCUCGAGCCUCCUAAAUUAUUUU